GGUUAAGCGACUAAGCGUACACGGUGGAUGCCCCGGCAGUCAGAGGCGAUGAAGGACGUGCUAAUCUGCGAUAAGCGUCGGUAAGGUGAUAUGAACCGUUAUAACCGGCGAUUUCCGAAUGGGGAAACCCAGUGUGUUUCGACACACUAUCAUUAACUGAAUCCAUAGGUUAAUGAGGCGAACCGGGGAACUGAAACAUCUAAGUACCCCGAGGAAAAGAAAUCAACCGAGAUUCCCCCAGUAGCGGCGAGCGAACGGGGAGCAGCCCAGAGCCUGAAUCAGUGUGUGUGUUAGUGGAAGCGUCUGGAAAGGCGCGCGAUACAGGGUGACAGCCCCGUACACAAAAAUGCACAUGCUGUGAGCUCGAUGAGUAGGGCGGGACACGUGGUAUCCUGUCUGAAUAUGGGGGACCAUCCUCCAAGGCUAAAUACUCCUGACUGACCGAUAGUGAACCAGUACCGUGAGGGAAAGGCGAAAAGAACCCCGGCGAGGGGAGUGAAAAAGAACCUGAAACCGUGUACGUACAAGCAGUGGGAGCACAGAGCAAUCUGUGUGACUGCGUACCUUUUGUAUAAUGGGUCAGCGACUUAUAUUCUGUAGCAAGGUUAACCGAAUAGGGGAGCCGAAGGGAAACCGAGUCUUAACUGGGCGUUAAGUUGCAGGGUAUAGACCCGAAACCUGGUGAUCUAGCCAUGGGCAGGUUGAAGGUUGGGUAACACUAACUGGAGGACCGAACCGACUAAUGUUGAAAAAUUAGCGGAUGACUUGUGGCUGGGGGUGAAAGGCCAAUCAAACCGGGAGAUAGCUGGUUCUCCCCGAAAGCUAUUUAGGUAGCGCCUCGUGAAUUCAUCUCCGGGGUAGAGCACUGUUUCGGCAAGGGGGUCAUCCCGACUUACCAACCCGAUGCAAACUGCGAAUACCGGAGAAUGUUAUCACGGGAGACACACGGCGGGUGCUAACGUCCGUCGUGAAGAGGGAAACAACCCAGACCGCCAGCUAAGGUCCCAAAGUCAUGGUUAAGUGGGAAACGAUGUGGGAAGGCCCAGACAGCCAGGAUGUUGGCUUAGAAGCAGCCAUCAUUUAAAGAAAGCGUAAUAGCUCACUGGUCGAGUCGGCCUGCGCGGAAGAUGUAACGGGGCUAAACCAUGCACCGAAGCUGCGGCAGCGACGCUGAUGCGUUGUUGGGUAGGGGAGCGUUCUGUAAGCCUGUGAAGGUGUGCUGUGAGGCAUGCUGGAGGUAUCAGAAGUGCGAAUGCUGACAUAAGUAACGAUAAAGCGGGUGAAAAGCCCGCUCGCCGGAAGACCAAGGGUUCCUGUCCAACGUUAAUCGGGGCAGGGUGAGUCGACCCCUAAGGCGAGGCCGAAAGGCGUAGUCGAUGGGAAACAGGUUAAUAUUCCUGUACUUGGUGUUACUGCGAAGGGGGACGGAGAAGGCUAUGUUGGCCGGGCGACGGUUGUCCCGGUUUAAGCGUGUAGGCUGGUUUUCCGGGCAAAUCCGGAAAAUCAAGGCUGAGGCGUGAUGACGAGGCACUACGGUGCUGAAGCAACAAAUGCCCUGCUUCCAGGGAAAGCCUCUAAGCAUCAGGUAACAUCAAAUCGUACCCCAAACCGACACAGGUGGUCAGGUAGAGAAUACCAAGGCGCUUGAGAGAACUCGGGUGAAGGAACUAGGCAAAAUGGUGCCGUAACUUCGGGAGAAGGCACGCUGAUAUGUAGGUGAGGUCCCUCGCGGAUGGAGCUGAAAUCAGUCGAAGAUACCAGCUGGCUGCAACUGUUUAUUAAAAACACAGCACUGUGCAAACACGAAAGUGGACGUAUACGGUGUGACGCCUGCCCGGUGCCGGAAGGUUAAUUGAUGGGGUCAGCGCAAGCGAAGCUCUUGAUCGAAGCCCCGUAAACGGCGGCCGUAACUAUAACGGUCCUAAGGUAGCGAAAUUCCUUGUCGGGUAAGUUCCGACCUGCACGAAUGGCGUAAUGAUGGCCGGGCUGUCUCCACCCGAGACUCAGUGAAAUUGAACUCGCUGUGAAGAUGCAGUGUACCCGCGGCAAGACGGAAAGACCCCGUGAACCUUUACUAUAGCUUGACACUGAACAUUGAGCCUUGAUGUGUAGGAUAGGUGGGAGGCUUUGAAGUGUGGACGCCAGUCUGCAUGGAGCCGGCCUUGAAAUACCACCCUUUAAUGUUUGAUGUUCUAACGUUGGCCCCUGAUCGGGGUUGCGGACAGUGUCUGGUGGGUAGUUUGACUGGGGCGGUCUCCUCCUAAAGAGUAACGGAGGAGCACGAAGGUUGGCUAAUCCUGGUCGGACAUCAGGAGGUUAGUGCAAUGGCAUAAGCCAGCUUGACUGCGAGCGUGACGGCGCGAGCAGGUGCGAAAGCAGGUCAUAGUGAUCCGGUGGUUCUGAAUGGAAGGGCCAUCGCUCAACGGAUAAAAGGUACUCCGGGGAUAACAGGCUGAUACCGCCCAAGAGUUCAUAUCGACGGCGGUGUUUGGCACCUCGAUGUCGGCUCAUCACAUCCUGGGGCUGAAGUAGGUCCCAAGGGUAUGGCUGUUCGCCAUUUAAAGUGGUACGCGAGCUGGGUUUAGAACGUCGUGAGACAGUUCGGUCCCUAUCUGCCGUGGGCGCUGGAGAACUGAGGGGGGCUGCUCCUAGUACGAGAGGACCGGAGUGGACGCAUCACUGGUGUUCGGGUUGUCAUGCCAAUGGCACUGCCCGGUAGCUAAAUGCGGAAGAGAUAAGUGCUGAAAGCAUCUAAGCACGAAACUUGCCCCGAGAUGAGUUCUCCCUGACUCCUUGAGAGUCCUGAAGGAACGUUGAAGACGACGACGUUGAUAGGCCGGGUGUGUAAGCGCAGCGAUGCGUUGAGCUAACCGGUACUAAUGAACCGUGAGGCUUAACCUU
rnacentral:rRNA from 1 species